rnacentral:tRNA from 1 species
AGCGAAAAAACGAAGGUUUUUACCCCGGAAUCGGGCUCAUAACCCGAAGGUCGGAGGUUCGAAUCCUCCCUCCGCAA